GAAAAGUUUUAUUCUGGCUUUUAUACUUUUUAUAAGAUUAUUUUACAUGUAAAUUUUAGUGAUAGAAGGAAAGAUCUAAAAGAUCUGAUAUGCAUUAUUCGCAGUGUUUUAUAUUAGUUGUGAGGGUGACCUUGAACUAGUAAUUUGUAUAAUUCCGGCAAAAUUCGUGCCAGCCGCCGCGGUUACACGAAAGGAGUGGGGAAACAUUCUUGGUUAGCAGUUAAUUAUCUAAUUAUGGGGACACAUUUCAAUUUGUUAGGUGAAAUUUUAAAUUGUGGUAACACCCGAGGAUCAUUUAAUGAAGCUGUGAAAAUUAAAUUGGAGACUGGGAUUAGAUACCCCAUUAUUUUAAUCGUUGAAUAAGGGCCAGAGUAGUAAUAGUCAAGUUCUUGAAACUCAAAGAAUUUGGCGGUGUUUUAUUCCGUUCAGAGGAACCUGUUCCGUAAUCGAUACCCCACGUUUAAUUAACUUAGUCUGGUAAACAGCUUGUAUACCGCCGUCAGAAGAGUACACUAGGAGGUGAUAUUCAAGGAUUUAAAUGAAACAAGAUGUCAGGUCAAGGUGCAGUCAAUGACUAAGGGGAAAUGGGUUACAAUAGAAGGUCUAAACGGAUUCAGCAAUGCAAAAGCUGUUGAAGGUGGAUUUGGAAGUAAUAAAUUUAAAUUUGGAUUUUUGAUGGAGGCUCUAAAACAUGCACACAUCGCCCGUCGCUCUCAUUUGUUAAGGUGAGAUAAGUCGUAACAUAGUAGGCGUACCGGAAGGUGUGUCUAGUAAGUC
rnacentral:ncRNA from 1 species